CAAUGGAUGAAUGGUUCUGACUUUCUCAUUUGCAUAUUGCGGUGGCAUUGGUUCAGAUUUCAGGGCCAUUUGUAUUGUGGUGGUUUCUUUAUGUUCAAGGUUAUCCACACCAGGCAGAGGACAAACGCCACUCCUGGCCUUCCUGCCCAGCUAGAUUUAAGGAUUGUAACCAGGACAGUGAGUCCCUUCUGGGAAAGGGACCUCGUGGAGGUUAUGAAAUCCAGCAGGUCAUGGAAGGAGAAACGAUUGGCAAUCCAGACGGGAUGGAGGCAGGAGUUGGCUCAGUAACCCCAUCUUUCCGAUCCACCAGCACUCCCCUGCACUUCCCAAGUGAUUUAAUUAUCCAUUCUUUAACUGCAACUCGGUUAGCCCUGAAAUUUGGGUGAAGAGAAAUCAGACACAGAGGACUACCACUGAGAAACUCUGCCUUGAUUUUCCAAGCCACUUUUAAUUUUAAAUGUUUAUUUCCCCGUGGUCUUCACAAACCAUUGAAAUAUCUCAGCAACUGAAAUAUUCCAGGAUGCAAACUUGAUCUUUUCGAUUGCCUACCACACCCAAAAGCUGUGCAGAAAGCCCCCUAGCACGUACACUGAUUUGGACUGGAAACUGGAGCCGCCAUUGCUGUGAAGAGAUGUGAAGUGACCAGACUUCCUUGUGUGAUGAUUAACUUUAUGUGUCUACUGGACUAGGUUAAGGGAUGCCCAGACGGCUGGUAAAACAUUAUUUCUGGGUAUGUCCGUGAGGGUAUUUCCAGAAGAGAUUAGCAUUCGAAUCGGCAGACUGAAUAAUGUUUGCCUUCACCAAUCCAGGUGAGCAUCAUGCCAUCAUCCAUUGAGAGCUCAAAUAGAACAAAAAGGUUUAGGAAGUGCGAAUUCGCUGUCUCUGCUUGAGCUGGAACAUCAUCUUCUCUUGCCCUCAGGCAUCAGCACUCCUGGUUUUGGGGACUUAGAAUUCAGACUGGGACCUAUGCCAUUGGUUUCGCUGGUCCUCAGGCCUCUGGGCUUCGUUGGACUGGAACUAUACUACCAGUUUUCCUGGGUCUUCAGCUUGCAGAUGGCAGAUUGUGGGACUUCUCAGUCUUCAUAAUUGUAUGAGCCAAUCCCCCAUAAUAAAUCUCUUUCUCUACAUCUA